ACAGACUAUAAAGUGUGCCAAGCUCCCAGAGGCUAGGAGUAACUCAGAGCAAAAGACAAUUGAUGGAGAACAAAAGCUGGCAAAACAACCUAUUUCAACUUCAACAAUACAUAAUUACAACAGAAAGAAUGGCUUGUGCCACAGGUGAAGACAUGCUGACAGCUCAGCUUUCCUUAGUGUUUUAUCACUGCUCAUCCCCAGUAGAUGACUGCAGCAGGGGUUUCAUAAACCUAAAGCUGUGUUUGAUACAAGCAAGUGCUCAAUAAUGCUUGUUUCGUUUAAUUAUUCAAGCUAAUCCUAAUUUCAAAUUUAAAGAAAGUACUCUGUCCAGGUACCAUCCUUCAAGCAACAAGUUUUGUAAAUUGUAUGCAUGAAGCUCAUAAAGAAAUGAGCUUGUCCUGCAAAAUCACUCCACUGAUGUGAUGGGAAACUCGCAGAACAGUAACAAUAUGAUUGCAGAACAAGUGGCCAGGGCAAGGUGAAGAAGAACAAAGAGGGAGAGACGAAAAGAGACAGAUUCUGGGAAAGGGAGACAGUGACUCAGCGAAACACAGAUGAGCGAGAUCAUGACAGAGUGCGUCCGGAAGACGCACGAGGAAAGAAACAGAAUGUUUCUCACUGUCUCUGUAUCUGUCAGAUACAGACAGAAGGAAGAAGAGUGACAGAGAUGAGUGCGUAACAGAGAGAGAGAGAGAGACAGAGCGCUAGUGACACAGGCCAGGAGAGAGGAGAGACAGAAAGAGGGAGGAAGAUAGUGAGGUAAGAGACAAAGGGAAAAUACAAGAGGAGGGAGAGAAGACCGUCUGGAUUUUGUUCUAAUAAACCACUACACAAUA